rnacentral:rRNA from 1 species
CCUACGGGUGGCAGCAGUGAGGAAUAUUGGUCAAUGGCCGCAAGUCUGACCCAGCCAAGCCGCGUGAAGGAUGAAGGUCCUAUGGUUUGUAAACUUCUUUUAUAGGGGUAUAAACGUUUCCACGUGUGGAUUUUCGCAUGUACCCUAUGAAUAAGCAUCGGCUAACUCCGUGCCAGCAGCCGCGGUAAUACGGAGGAUGCGAGCGUUAUCCGGAUUUAUUGGGUUUAAAGGGUGCGUAGGUUGUUUUUUAAGUCAGCGGUGAAAGUUUGUGGCUCAACCAUAAAAUUGCCGUUGAAACUGGAAGACUUGAGUGUGUGUGGGGUAGGCGGAAUGCGUGGUGUAGCGGUGGAAUGCAUAGAUAUCACGCAGAACUCCGGUUGCGAAGGCAACUUACUAAGCCAUAACUGACACUGAAGCACGAAAGCGUGGGGAUCAAACAGGAUUAGAUACCCUGGUAGUC